UGCAUUAACUACUGUAAGUUGCUCUGGAUAAGAGUGUCUGCUAAAUGACUAAAA
rfam:Salmo salar isolate Sally breed double haploid chromosome ssa13, whole genome shotgun sequence.